UGGGGAAUAUUGGACAAUGGGGGGAACCCUGAUCCAGCCAUGCCGCGUGUGUGAAGAAGGCCUUAUGGUUGUAAAGCACUUUUAGCGAGGAGGAGGGUACUGGUAUUAAUACUACCAGGUACUGGACGUUACUCGCAGAAUAAGCACCGGCUAACUCUGUGCCAGCAGCCGCGGUAAUACAGAGGGUGCGAGCGUUAAUCGGAUUUACUGGGCGUAAAGCGUGCGUAGGCGGCUAAUUGAGUCGGAUGUGAAAUCCCCGAGCUUAACUUGGGAAUUGCAUUCGAUACUGGUUAGCUAGAGUGUGGGAGAGGAUGGUAGAAUUCCAGGUGUAGCGGUGAAAUGCGUAGAGAUCUGGAGGAAUACCGAUGGCGAAGGCAGCCAUCUGGCCUAACACUGACGCUGAGGUACGAAAGCAUGGGGAGCAAACAGG
rnacentral:rRNA from 1 species